CCUACGGGUGGCUGCAGUGGGGAAUUUUUCGCAAUGGGCGCAAGCCUGACGACGCAACGCCGCGUGGGGGAUGACGGUCUUCGGAUUGUAAACCCCUGUCGAGCGGGACGAAUGGCCCGCGACCUAAUACGUCGUGGGAGUGACGGUACCGCUAAAGGAAGCCACGGCUAACUCUGUGCCAGCAGCCGCGGUAAUACAGAGGUGGCAAGCGUUGUUCGGAAUUACUGGGCGUAAAGGGCGCGUAGGCGGCCUUCUAAGUCAGACGUGAAAUCCCCCGGCUCAACCUGGGAACUGCGUCUGAUACUGGGAGGCUCGAGUGCGGGAGAGGGAUGUGGAAUUCCAGGUGUAGCGGUGAAAUGCGUAGAUAUCUGGAGGAACACCGGUGGCGAAGGCGGCAUCCUGGACCGACACUGACGCUGAGGCGCGAAAGCUAGGGUAGCAAACGGGAUUAGAUACCCGUGUAGUC
rnacentral:rRNA from 1 species